GAGUUUGAUUCUGGCUCAGGAUGAACGCUGGCGGCGUGCUUAACACAUGCAAGUCGAACGGGCGAAUUAUAUCGGAGGUCUUCGGGCCGAAGAGAUAAUAAGCUAGUGGCGGACGGGUGCGUAACGUGUGGGUAAUCUGCCUUUGUUAUAGGAAUAACUGCUUGAAAAAGUAGCUAAUACCAAAUAACAUAUCGUAUAGGCAUCUAUAAGAUAUCAAAGAGAAAUCGGACAAAGAUGAGCCCGCAUCUGAUUAGCUGGUUGGUAGGGUAAAAGCCUACCAAGGCGACGAUCAGUAGCCGGCCUGAGAGGGUGAACGGCCACAUUGGAACUGAGACACGGUCCAAACUCCUACGGGAGGUAGCAGUGGGGAAUAUUGCACAAUGGGGGGAACCCUGAUGCAGCAACGCCGCGUGAGUGAAGAAGGCUUUCGAGUCGUAAAACUCUGUUGUAAGGGAAGAUAAUGACG
rnacentral:rRNA from 1 species